rnacentral:rRNA from 1 species
CUUUUUCUUUUUCUUUUUCUUUUUGGGUGGGGGCUUAGCUCGCUGACGCAGAGGGUGGGGUAGACUUAGGCGACGGAGCGGCGGCGGCCGGGCGUAGGAGGCGGCGCGGCACGACGACAGGAGGGGCGUGGGGCCGGACGGAGGAGAGGCGGCGCGGGAGGAGGGGCGAGGCACGACGGCAGGAGGGGCGUGGGGCCGGACGGAGGAGAGGCGGCGCGGGAGGAGGGGCGCGGCAGGUUCAGGAGCGGGCCAAGCGGCUGCGGCUCCGGGUCCGGCGGCGCGAGGCCCGGACGUGGCCGCCCGAGCUCGUGCGCGGCGGUUGGCGCUGCCCGACGAGUUGUGCGAGGCGCGGCGGUGCCAUUUGCCGGCCCUCCUCCUCCUCCUGCGCGUCCUCCGUCCCGCCACAGUCUUAGCGCGCGCAACCUAGGCCGGCUACCAAUGCCGCUGUGCCUGCGCCUACGAGACCGGCGCCGGCGGCGCGAGAUACGGGGCGGGGACGAACGGCUCGGGACGGAGAGGCCUAGAGGUCGGUACAUACUACGACCCCUGGAACGUCCAGGUACGAGCAGCCGCUCCCCCUCGCGUCUGUCGUCGGAUCGGGCAGUGGCAGUCAUUGUACCGUCAUCCGGAGAAGAGGGGAAGAGUUAAAUGUCGUCGUACGGUGUGAGAGUCCGAGGACAGGGGGCAGCAAUCGUGUGGCUAAGUCUCCGUCUCCGACUGAACGUCGAGCACCUGUGUCUCCUCCUUCGGAUUCUAGUUAGAGUUUUCAACAAUAGUAACAAGAGUCGGUCGCUACGUAUCCCCUUAACAAACGAGUAGAUACACAAUUUUAGACCUGGAGAAGUAGUUGCUGAAGUUAUUCCUACUCUAGUUCGACGCAGACGACGAGACAGGUGGUGUUGUUAAAACCUUACGUAAUUGAAAAUAGACGGGUCCAACUUAGGAAGUAAGGAGUAAGAGUAGGAUUAAAGAACUACAACCCGUUCUGUGAGGUCUACUCAACGAUUGUAGUUUUCCGAAGUCAAGAUUGAUCUUCUUUAAAACGAAUCCUUAUAAAAUAGUCAAAACACCAGUUAAUUAGUUGACCACAAUGUUAUUUUCGUUCUUUCACUACGUUCAAGAAACCCUAUAUACGUGACCUUUUAUAUACUUGUGACAACCGGGUUUUAGUGUCCCGGGGUGAUUUAACAACCGGUAAACCGGAGUACUAAAAUUACUAUUAGCAAGAUGGUACUUAAAACAGAAGGCGAUCGUAAAGUUGUCAUGACACACGACAUCGUCAUAUGUAGACUUUCUCAAAGGAGGAUACGGUACCUAGGCCACAUCGCGAGGUCACUCUUUAUUAGUUACCACAUGAAUAGGGGAAAUGUACAAGAAAUAAAUGUAAAAAAUGUAACUUAAGAUUCGAUUCACGAAUCAGAAAACAAUGAACGUCGGAACGUCCGUCCUUGUACUCGUAAGUAUAGACCCUCAAGGCUUCUUCCGCAACUGGGGUAAUAUAUAUAACGACGAGAGACGGUCUUUGGUUUGUUUAUUGUGAAGAUACUACGACGAGUGACUAACUAUGAUUUAUGCUCAUAUACCGAACAAGAGCUCCUAUCAAUAGUGAAAAACUAAGUAUACCUUAAACUCCUAUACCUACUGUGACCAAACAAAGAAAGUGAUGAUUUUAAGACAGGUGGUAAUCGAAUGCCCGUUACGAGGUCUAGGUGCGCUUGUACGGGCUCAUUUACGAGAAAUACUAAGGUACAAGAAUACAUUAUUCUGAACUACACAAAAUAGAAGGUUAUUAAGUCUGUGCCCGGAAGGUGUUGAACUAUGUUCGACGACUGUUCUCAAUCUCCCAAUCCAAACUAUAAUAAUAAACAACAUACUGAUAAACAAGAGUAAUACCGUGUGGAAUAAAUAGAAAAUAAGUCAAUGUAUCGAACGGACAUAAUGAAGUUUGUAUUAAUAUGACACAUGUAAAUCACCUAUGAUAACAACUCAUUUUUGCUUUAAGCUUGAAGUUUAAUGUAUGACCUAAAUCUAACAAAGGAAUCUUUGGUUCUCAAGAAAAAAACUACUUUGACGGUCUAACCGAAAAGUAAGUACUUCUUCCCCACAUCAUGUUCCACAAAGAGUUUUUAUGUCCCAUCAUCUCGACGUAUGCUUGACAUACGUCCUUUGUAUGUCACCUUGUAUUGACUUCGUAGAGAUUAGACAGAGGGAACCAAAAACUUAGUCGACCAAUUUUGGGUUCUAUAGUAAACGCCAAGGGUCAUCAACAAAUGAUCUCCAUAGGUGCUAGGAAAUCUUUAAUCUUCACUAUUCUUUUUUUUCACCUUGACUUGACUUCGAUAAAGACAAUCAUAACAGAUGCAGAGGAACUGGAAAGUGCCCUUAGACUACAUUGGUAGGACGUUGGACGUUUAUGAUAUCUACUAUACGUCUCUUCUAAAGUUAUAAUGAAUAAUGACGGAAUCAUGGUACGGAAAGAAGAGAUGUAUUUAGUAAAUAUUUCGACAUCCUCCUCGAGUCGAAUGUAUAUACUUAUAGGCUGAUUAACGGAAUGGUGAUUAAUCAACGGUGUGACGUUGAUGACUGUCACCUAUGACUGUAGAAUAAGAGAACCAUCUCAAGUUUUGUUGUACUUAGUUCGACUACUUUAAGUCAACAUAAAAAAAGAAAAGGCUGGUACAUCAAAAAAAUUGACGAGACUUCCAGGAGAGUAUAUAUUAAUUCGAGUGUGUGUUUACAGGAACAUGCAUGAUAUCUUAGUAUAUCGACUGUUAUAACUUGAAAAGACAACAUUAUUCUUAUAGUUCGUAAUAAAACAGUAACCACAAAGUCAAACAGCCAAUGUCCAUAUAGUAAGGUUAUAAGUAUGAUAUCUUCAACAACAGUCCCUCACGCUCUCCCCAUCGUCUCACCGGUCACUCCCCUCGUGGUAGUGCCCUCGACACAAUUAUCUUCCGUUGCAGCUCUUCUACAGCUGUUGGAGGCACCUACUCGCCACCAACACUCUCAAACGGUUCCUUCCGGAUGAGCUAGUACCUCACCGAUAGCGACGUUUUCCGCUGCGAUCGUUGUCUCUGUCGGUAGGUAAACACGGUGGUAGUUAUUGUUGCAACAUUGUUCGUACCGAGACGUGACCAACGACUUCGUCAUCUCACCGAAUACAGUACAUCCGUUGACCACCGAUGUUCCUAGGCAUGCAUUUGUACCAGAUGAAGGAGUAGGAUUGUGUCUCGUUUAGUACCGUGUUCGUUAGUACCGUCCUCCCCCCAAUUUGCCCUAGACUGGAUCUAGCCCCUCUCUCUUUCUCCUUGAGUAGCGCCACCGGCCGGAGGGAGCGUGGUAAGCGG